UAUUGCCUAGAGUCGUGUUGUGAAGCCAGAUCCCAGGUGAAUAACGAAGAACUCAUUGCUAGGUCAUUAGAUAUCAGUUUUAUUUCGCUUUUGUUCAUCCAGUCACUCCCAGGUGGAUAUUCUGAGUGAAUAAAGGCUAGCGAGUGUAGAAGUCAGAAUGGAUGAAAAACCAGCGGUGGACGAGGCAGGGAAUCAUUCACUACAAGACUACAACCAGCCACCCCAGUACGCACAGCCACCCCAGUAUGCCCAGCCACCCAAUGCUCCAGUGCAGGGUAUGUGGGGACCAGCACCUGUGAUGACGCAGCCGAUGACUUCCAUGAACACCAACAAUCAUCAACAACCAACCUGCCCCUAUCAUCCAACUACCCCGAGUUUGGAGCUCAGGCGUCUGCGACAUGUGUAACGACAUGGGCAUUUGCUGCAUGGUUACGUUUUGCGGGAUGUGUUCCGGGUGUCAGCUGGCCAUGGACAUGGGAGAGAGCUGCUGUCUGCCUCUGUGUGUACCCGGUUGGCUUAUCACCCUUAGAACGAAGAUGCGAACACAAUAUAACAUUCAG